GCUUUUGCGGCCAAAGUAGGUUGGGAGUGGAAGGUGGUGGCUGCUGCUCCGCAGUGUCGGGAAGAUGGCGCCGCCGGUGGCAGAGAGGGGGCUAAAGAGCGUCGUGUGGCAGAAGAUAAAAGCAACAGUGUUUGAUGACUGCAAGAAAGAAGGCGAAUGGAAGAUAAUGCUUUUAGAUGAAUUUACCACUAAGCUUUUGGCAUCGUGUUGCAAAAUGACAGAUCUUCUAGAAGAAGGUAUUACUGUUGUAGAGAAUAUUUAUAAGAAUCGUGAACCUGUCAGACAAAUGAAAGCUCUUUAUUUCAUCACUCCGACAUCAAAGGUGAGUAUUUUGAGGCCUUAAAAAGCAGGUUCAUCAAUAUUUCACCAUUGUUAUGGUUUACUAACAGAAAAUUCAUAGUAAUAAAGUACCCUUUAGUAGAAAAAUAUUGCCAUAAACUAGUUUGCUUAGGAAAGUUUUUUUCUGUGUUAGAAGAUUAUUUGCAUUCUUCCCAAUGAGAAUGUAUAAGUAAAAGGAUUCCUUUUUUCCCCAUAUAUGAAAGCAGAAUUAAAUUGUAUAAA
rnacentral:sRNA from 1 species